GACGAACCGUGCGGACGUUGUUCGGAAUCACUGGGCUUAAAGGGCGCGUAGGCGGGCUGGUAAGUCAGGGGUGAAAGCCCACGGCCCAACCGUGGAAGUGCCUUUGAUACUGCCAGUCUCGAGGGAGGUAGGGGCGUGCGGAACUUCCGGUGGAGCGGUGAAAUGCGUAGAUAUCGGAAGGAACACCGGUGGCGAAAGCGGCGCGCUGGACCUCUUCUGACGCUGAGGCGCGAAAGCCAGGGGAGCAAACGGG
rnacentral:rRNA from 1 species